GCUUGUACCUAAGAAUGGAUGAAGGCCUGGUUAGUACUUGAAUGGGAGACCACCUGGGAAUACCAGAUGUAGGCA
rnacentral:rRNA from 1 species